ensembl:lncRNA
CUCAAAUUUCUCCCGAGACCAGCGAAACAUGUUUGCGCAGUGGUGACCCUAUAGGCCUUCGGUGUGUGACAGGUUCGUGAUUCUGAAAGGACAGCAACCGUAAUACCAGGCUAUAUGCAGAGUGAAAAUAUGAAACAUCUAUUGGAAAACACAGGUUGCCAUUCCUUCGCUGGGCGGGGCGAUUGGGAACUUUGUUGCAAAAUGCUGAAUUUAAAAUGGAUAAGUUGUCGGAGAGGACAAAAAACGCUCAGGGACUUCACCAUGAGGCCAAUCAAUGGUGACUUUAAAACAGUUACGGAGUUUAAUGGCUGCAGGAGAAAACUGAAGAUGGAUCAACAACAUUGUAGUUACUCCACAAUACUAACCUAAUUGACAGAGUGAAAAGAAGGAAGCCUG